AUGAAGCUUCAGAAUUCUCUUUGUGAAUGCACCUAUGCGCACCUUGACACCCAUGUUGUAUCUUGUGUGAAUCUUCCUUUUUGUCUGUCUGAUCUUGCUAAGAAAUCUGCAAUCACUUCAAGUCCAUUAUCCUGCUUUGACAAAAGUCUGAAACUAGUAGCAACAUGUUUAAGCUUCAGAUUUGAGAGUCAAGUCAGGAGAGUGCCAGAAACAUAUGGAGGAGGCAAGUGUCAAACAACAAUCACCCUCGUCCCAGAAAUUCCAUGGAGAAAAUUUCGAGUAGUUACCAGUUGCAACCUAGCUCACAAGGUGAUGCGCGUUAACAGUACUGAAGCAAUAUAA
rnacentral:rRNA from 1 species